rnacentral:rRNA from 1 species
AGGCCCACCAAGGCGACGAUCCGUAGCUGGUCUGAGAGGAUGAUCAGCCACACUGGAACUGAGACACGGUCCAGACUCCUACGGGAGGCAGCAGUGGGGAAUAUUGGACAAUGGGCGCAAGCCUGAUCCAGCCAUACCGCGUGGGUGAAGAAGGCCUUCGGGUUGUAAAGCCCUUUUGUUGGGAAAGAAAAGCAGUCGAUUAAUACUCGGUUGUUCUGACGGUACCCAAAGAAUAAGCACCGGCUAACUUCGUGCCAGCAGCCGCGGUAAUACGAAGGGUGCAAGCGUUACUCGGAAUUACUGGGCGUAAAGCGUGCGUA